AUGAACGCUAGCGGCAGGCUUAACACAUGCAAGUCGAGGGGCAGCAUGAGACAGAGAUUCGUCGAAGUCUUGAUGGCGACCGGCGCAAGGGUGCGUAACGCGUGAGCAACUUGCCCGUUUCAGGGGCAUAACCGGUGGAAACGCCGACUAAUUCCCCAUAGUAUCAUUGAGAGGCAUCUUUUAAUGAUUAAAGAAUUUCGGAAACGGAUAGGCUCGCGUGACAUUAGCUAGAUGGCGGGGUAACGGCCCACCAUGGCUACGAUGUCUAGGGGUUCUGAGAGGAAGGUCCCCCACACUGGAACUGAGACACGGUCCAGACUCCUACGGGAGGCAGCAGUGAGGAAUAUUGGUCAAUGGUCUGACGACUGAACCAGCCAUGCCGCGUGAAGGUGACGGCCCUAUGGGUCUUAAACUUCUUUUGUAAGGGAGCAAUAAGGUCUACGUGUAGAUUGAUGAGAGUACCUUACGAAUAAGCAUCGGCUAACUCCGUG
rnacentral:rRNA from 1 species